rnacentral:lncRNA from 1 species
UCCAUCUAAUAUUACUUUUUUGUAUUGCAGAUAAAGUGUACAUGGCAUCCUCGUCAUUAAAAUGAAAUAAAUGUUAUUUUCGAGAAAAAGGCUGCUAAGCAAAUUAAAGAUACCAUCUUCACUGCUCGGAAUGCUAGUAAAAUGCCGGAGUAGUUAAGAGAAGAUGUUUGGAAGAAACUUCUUGAGAAAUUUAAUAUCGAUGAAUGGAAGAAGACUGCACAAGAAAAGGCAAAUCGCGCCUCCAGGAAAGGUAGCUCAUUGAAAACAGGAGGUUCGAUUAGUUUUG